GGGGACUUAGCUCAGUUGGCUAGAGCGCCUGCUUUGCACGCAGGAGGUCAAGGGUUCGACUCCCUUAGUCUCCACCA
rnacentral:tRNA from 1 species